rnacentral:lncRNA from 1 species
GUCUGUCUUCAUAAGUGUGACAGAUUUGAUUAAGCUCUUUGAGAGAGACUGAUGUAAAAAUUCAGACAAAAUCAGACCUUUCUGCCAAUUUACAGUAUCACAUUGACAAUUCAUUCCAGGCUCAUCAAAGUUCAGUAAUGCAUGUGGAAAGAAUAAGUUUCCUGCACAGGAACAAGAAGUUGAUGAACAGGAAUGUAUAUGCUGGUUCCACACAUAAGCCUCAGCACAAAAUUAAAGAUAAAAGAGCAUUGAGAUGGCUAGAUGAUCACUUGGCUCUGGAAAUUUGACGUAUGAAGAGAACAGUAGUGUGAAGCCAUACAAACAGUGGGCAAAGCUGACAGAGAGGCUGGGGUGGCAGAACUGAAGUUGGCGGUACUGCUGCCAGGUGCACGGCACACGUGCUGGAAAAGGAAAGCCCGGUAUGCUGGAAAGGAGCAGCUGAGGUGGUAACUGUAGUGCUUUGGACAAGCAGUCAUCUCUUGUUGUGGAGACUGCCGUGGCUUGGCACUGGAAGGAAGGAAGGUCUUGUUGGCACCAGGUGGGGACACCGAGACACAGGGCUGCAGCAUGAUUAGCCCCAUGGUUUUCAGCAAAGCAUGAGGACAGCAUGUGGCUGCACCAGUAGUGAGGACCUUCUGGUCUCUUCUUUGCUACCAUCUUGCAACCCUUCCCAAAGCGUGCUGCAGGCCCAGCUCCAAUGCUUCAUCAAGAUCCAGGAACUCCCAGAGCUGCCCACGGUCAUGUCACACAGGUUUACACAGGCUUUCCUGGCCUUGCUGCAAUGAGCAGGACUGAAGUGGAAAGUGAUGAGCCUGCUGAGGUCGUCUGGAUGCAGUGAUGUGAAGAGGCAGUAGUUUUCCAGGCUGAUAUUCAGUCUGGAGCCGUAGCACUGAUGCUCCAAGACUGUCACUUCUUUGUGAAACUAUGACUGCUAAAAAGAAACAUUUAUUUUCUUCAUUUGCAAGGCUGUGAAAACACACUCACCUUCCUGCGGACGUGUGCGGAGCAGAGGUGUCAGCUCACCCCAUGCAGCCUGAUGUGGACUACGUCAGUGUGGUCACCCACCCCCUGGAUGAGGUAGUCCUGGCUCCUUCGGGUCAGGCCUCGCAGUACAAAGGCUGCAGAGCUGCAGAAAGGGAGAAGACAAGGAGGGCUGCGCCUGGCCUUUAUCUCUUGCAUGCUUUGGCCCCAUGAAGAACUCCAGCAUGUCUGCCUGGUGAACAACGAGUUGAAUGCCUGGUGAUGUCCAGUGAGUCAGGAACAACCCACAUUGAGGUUAGACAUCAACACAGAGCAAGACACCUUCUCCAGCUCUGCAAGAACCGGGAAUUGAGUUGGGGGAAUCUCUCUUUCACCUGUCUGCCAAAAUCCCCUUGUUAAAAUAAGUAUCACCCUACGUCAAAUAUGUCAAAUAAAUGCUUGCCUAUUAAGGCAAGCUUGCAACGCUAUUUAAAACAGAAGUGGCAAAACAUUAAAACUGAAAGUAACAGCAUGCUCCCCUCAAAUCAGCAUUGUUGGCUGUUUGCUUCUGAGCUGUGGGCCCCUGUGCAGCACUGGCUGCAUGGAUUAUCCGGGUGGGAACAGGUGGGAGUUUUAGAGAGCCAUGUGUGCUGUGCUAGCACUUGGUAUAGGUAUGGACUGUCUUGAAGGGCUUGGGAAGACAUGUCCAUCCAGUCACUGAGCAUGGAGAAAGAGGAGUGAGAAAGCAUGGGGUUCCCAGGUGACACUAGUUAGCCAGCUUGAGCGGUGAAUACAUGCAGUAACUGGUCUGCUGACAAGGCACAUACCACAUUUCGCUCACAGCACGAUUAUGCAGCAGUUGCAAGUAGCAAACCAGUGUAGCCAAUACUUAGUUGCUCCUUCACAGACAGAAGGAAGGGAAGCUUAAAUUCCUUAAUAAUUUAUCAUAAAUAUUGCACUCUGCCCUUGCACAGUGCAGAGUAAACUUGCUUGUAAUUCAUGCUGGUGUCAGUUCUGUGUCUCAACUUCAUUGUAAACUUACAUUGGAAAUCCUUUCCUUGAACCGAUUCCAGGUUUAUUAUGCAUUAGUAACAGACAUCUACACUAACACUGAGUGAGCUUAUAGUGAUUUGUUAUACCAGAUUUUAGAAACCUGUCAUGAGACCACAAUUUGCUAGUGUUAUCUCAACACCUUGUGCAGAGAUGCAAGGACUGUUUGGUGACAUAUCAUCCUUGACACAUGACACAUAGAGUGCAUGCUUCAAUCAACACGCCGUGCCUCUGGGCAGUGUGGUGCUGCAGCCUCUGCAGGGGAAUGCCACUGCCUGUGAAACCUCCUCCCUUGCAACUAGUGGUGAUGGCAGUGCUGUGGGGACUGCAGGAAGCAAGGAACCUAACCUAAAUACCCCAAAAUACAAAAAGUUUUCUGUGAGAUUGUUGAUGCUUUAUUGUUUGCAGACACGUCUAAGCAAACCAGAAUGUGCUGCUGUUUUAAUUAUUUAUUCUGCAAGUGGUUUGAGGAAUACUAAUCGUAGUAGCUCUACUGGGACUAGGACCAGGAUAAGCUCAUUAUAAUUUGCUUCAUUUCAUCUUAAUUCUGCAGUAACUCACCCUGUUUACUUGAAUUCUGGUUGUCCUGAUUACCUUGAGCGUGGUAUGCCCAUGUCGUACUUCAAAAUAAGCGGAGGUGAUGAGCAAAUACCAACACAGUGAUGUUAUAAUCCCUAAAAUUAUGUUAGAUGUGAAAAAAAAAAACCAACAAAAAAGAUAGAUUAUUAUUAUUUGUCUCUAAGUAGUGGGGUCAGGAUGUGUUUUCCUAAGCAGUAGCUCAACCUGGCUUUACUGCAAGCAGAAUCUGGCCUUCGCUGUCCAUUGGCAAAGAAAUAACGUUUCAUCUCUGCCCCACAUUGACAUCUCUCUUGCAGGAGUAAGGAGACAUUAACAUACUGGUCAUCAGCUGAGCAGAAGAUACUGAUGGAGAUGCUUCUUUAUGCAAGCACGACGGCAAGCUCCCUUCCAUUCUAUUGAGAAGAUAAUGCAUGAUAGCGAUGUGAAUGUGUUGCUGUCAUGAGCUAAGUGCUGACUUUUGUCCAUACCAAUGGUAACGAAGGGUUACAGAAAUGCUGAAACUCAAAAAUAUAAACACAAAUAUCAGACCUCCAGCCCUCCCAUAGGGCAUUUCUAAUUGUCAAGUGAAGGGAUGGGAAUUGCUGUGAUAAAUGUCAUGUAUCUUAUGGGUUGUUACACAACAGUGGUGGGGGAAGAGGGAAGGUGCAGAAAGGAGAAAGCUGGAACUACUCAUACGUACUUGGUAAAAAUAACAUGCCGUUUGAUUAGAAGUGUGUUUUAAACAUAUUAUUUGAAUAUGUAAGGAGUUAUGUUGGUCCUGAAAGUACCUGAUGACUAUCAUGCUGCUACGAAGGCAUUGUACCCACCAAUGCUUGGCCUCUGUGACAUUACCAUUGGGUUCAAUGACAAGCAGGGCAAGACCAGGUGGGCAGGAUGGGACUAACCAUGCUCAGGGAGCUAUAACUCCACAGAAUGAUCAUGCAGUGUUCUUACAUAUGAUGGAUGUGGUAAAUGACAGCAGUUUUGUUAACACUGCACUCUACUGCAUAUCUGGCACAAGAGUUAACAUGGGCUAGCACCAAAAUUUGCAGUGUCAUGGGUGGUGAGUAUGCACCCUUCAAAGCCUCCUGUACUGUGGGAACUUUCAAUGGUUUAACCUAAAACAAGUGUCAUGCUGAGAAAAACUCUGUGCAAGCACUUGGUUUCAGUUUAAACACCAUUUAUUUUGAAGUCACCUCUGGGGGUGGAAAGGUGCUUUUUGUUGUUUGGUUUUUUUGUUGUUGUUGUUGUUUUUAACCAAAAUGAGUGAAACCAAAUGAAAGGUGUCUGCCUACAAGCAAUGCACUGGAGUAAUUAUGGUCCCUGCACUGAGACUCAAGCAAAUAUUUCUGAGGCAGUUUCUGAAUUUUGCAAACCAUCUGUCUGCCUUUACCUCUGCCAGCACCACAGAGAUGGGGCACCUCAGCCUAAGAGCAGUCAGGGCAGCUAUGGGUGCUGCUGCACCAAAUCUCCAUAGCCAGUCAUUGGGCCACUUGUGAGUGUGGAAACAGCAUUUUCUGUCCAUCCGUCCAUGUGGUCAGAGGUGAGUCCUAGACAUACUGUGACAUAACAGCAUGUUCUUCCUCUAGGGCAAGAGCUGCAGCUGAAUUCAUCAGUAGGAAUGGGAUGUGAGGGACUUCCCCAGGUGGACUGCACUGGGGAUUCACUUCCAAGUGGGAUACCACAUUGGGUGCUAACGAUGCCAUUGACACCUACUCCCGCUCUAACCUGAUCACCUCUGGUCGGGUCCAGCUGGCCCUUUGAAGAUAUCUCCUCACCCAGUGUUAACCCCAGCUUGUUUUUCUCCCUGCUUCUUGGUUCACCAGUGGUGGCACAAGCCAGAGCUCCUGGCUGGGUCUCUGCAGGGCACACUGGUUUGAGGAGGAACAGAAGAGAGCUCUGGGACAUCUGGUACUUUAGACUGAGGAAGAGCACUCAUUUGGAUGGAGGGUUUGGUGCUGUAAAGCAGGUGAACUGGCUAAGCUUCUUCUGGAAGGUGCUGGGCUGCCAGGAGCUCCCCAGAGCAGGGGCAAGAAAGAUGUCCCUCAGCGGGUACUGGGGUAUCAUCAUGCAAACAGCUGGCUAGGUGAGUUAGAGAAGGUAUCUCAUCUCUUACCUAUUUCUCACUGGAAGCAGAAAGUGCAGAAGCCAAGUCUGUAAUUUCCCAGAUGGAUAUGUCUUCUAUAGGACCUCUUUCUUCCAUGAAAAGGAGGAGAUGCCUCCAGAUAUCCUCUGACACAUACAACUACUUUGUACCAGACAAAGUAAUUGGCUGGAGUCAACCUGGGCCCUCAGUAAAACAAGUGUGGGUUCGGGAAGUCAAAAGAGUUUGAGAGCUCCUGCCUCUGUCCUAUGGCAUUCCUGUGGUGGAAAAUCCCACAGUGAGGGGAGCUGUGGGCAGGAAAGUGGAGCACAGCCAUCCUGCUGCUUUCUGAAGGCAUCUAUCAGGUUGUGCAGGCAUAGCCAGGUCUCUAGCAUCCCUGUCUCUGCUCUUAGGUGUCAAUUUCUAUCAGACACUGGAAAUCCUGAGUAUAUUUCCAAGAAGAUGGGCAGAGUCAUUUGAUUGACCAUUGUGCUGGUCACACAGAAGAGAAGAAUGACCAUUCUUGCUCACAGGCUUAAAACCCACCUGCAUUCAUAUCUCCUCUAAGCGCUGCAAACAGCAAAGCAGAGAUGGUAACAGCCACUAAAGGAGGAAGGGCCACGUACAGAGAUGUUCACUUACCUCCAAAGGUCUUUACUCUCUUGGUCAAAGGCCCUGACUGCCUAUCUUCAGUUUGGGUAUCUUUAAAUUUAAUCUGUCCAUAUUCCUUUUGCAUAGCUCUUGGAUGAAAAGGUUUGGCUCUGUAAAACAAUAUUGCCAAGCUGCUACAUGAGGAAUGAGCCACACAUAGAAGGUAUGUAAGUACGUGCUUGUGAAAAAGCCAACAAACUCUUCCCUCGUAUGUGAUGAUGCCUUUUCCAUGUCUAGUGUUGUCUUAGCUUCGUUUUCAUUACUUCACACAUAAAAACAGAAGUUAAAGGAUGUGCAAAAUGUCACACAGUGAAGUAAAAUUAUUGGCUGAUCUAAGAACUUCCACCCCAACCAGAAGUCUUAUCUUCCAAGCUUUGAAUCUGUGUCAGAACCAAUUAUUUUAACGUAGAUUUUUUAAAUAUAUAUGGUAGCAUCUUAAGGCUUUGUCAAUAUAUUUAAAGUUGUUCUACAAUAUAUACAGUAAUUGCUUUUCUAUGAGGACCGAGAUACAUGAAAGAUUCAAAAGAUAGAGGACUUUUCAUUGAUGGCAACUUUUAAAAAAAUAAAAGCUGGAUUAUUACAUGAAGGAGAUAAAAGGCCAUGAAAUAGAUAUUAAGGCCAUGAAGUAGAUAUUUUUACUCUAGCAUAAGAGAGGAUUUUUAGCUUCUAAAUAUGCAGAGACACUAUAUCAACUAUCACAAAUGUGUGCCGGUGAUGCAUCCAACAACACUUAAUUAUCAGUUCUACAGGAAAAUUAGGUGAGAAAAUUACUUGUCUUUUUGUAUUUAUUUUAGUUAUAAAAACCCAAAGAUGAUGACACUUCUCUCACUACAGCAUGUUAGACAUAGAUGGCUUGCCUGUCUUAUUUUUCCCCCUUGGUGAUGCAGAUUGAUAAUUCCUGCAGUGGGCUCAGUUUAAUUUGUUACUUUUUACAAAUGCAUAUUGUGCAGUUUUAAAGACAGCUGUCUUCAAAAUGGGUAGACAUUAAGCAGUUUCAUUUUUUGUGGUGUCUUAGAUCAGAAAUGUUUGAGAUGGAAGAAACUGAUCUGGUCCACUACCUCGACCUUCUUUGCAAUGUGAGAUGCAUACUUAUGGGUCGGUAUUUGUAUGUCCUUCUUGCUUUCCUCCUCUAGAAAUUAAUUAGGGCAUUAAACAAUAUCAAAACAUGAAAAUGUUUGCAGAUGGACAGAUAGGAGCUAAAAGAUACUGAAAGUUCUUGUGCUACCAAACACAGCACAGGGAACAACUGAAGUAGCCACAGCUGAUGAAAGCAAUGUUUUUUCAAAUGCUGUCCUAUGCUCAAAUAAGGCAUCUGAGAGAGCAACAACAGCUACCAUGGUGUGUGUCUCAUUUCCCUCACCCUGGGGCAUCCCGGGCAUAGCAAUGCUGCAUGGAGAAGAAAAGAAAAAAAAAGAGAGAGAGAGAAGGAAGGCUGAAAAGUAAGAAGAAAAAUCAGUCUUUGAAUGUGAAGAUAAAAAAUAAGCCAUCAGGAACUAAACUGGUUUUAAUUUUGUCUCUGAUACUGUAGGGUUCUGGCAUGCAUCUGUCAACAUGGCUGACGUAGCUACACAGGAAUAUGGUGGGAAAAGUCUUGGCUAGAAAAAUCUUACUGCACACAUAUGAUGAAAGAGAAGGGAAAGGCAAUGUUGGAAGAGAACGACUUGUUCCCAGCAGUCAGCAAAGUCUCCAGCCAUAUUACAGCGGUGGCAGCUGCCUCUUCCCCAGUGGUAAGGGGGAGUGCCCCUGAGAGCAUGGCAUUACAAGGAGAACAGGUCUCAUGUGAUGUCCUUUUGAGGGCAGAUUUGGUUGUCCCUCAUGUAAAAUACAAACAGCAAUGGAUAAGCAAGAGCAUGGCAUUCACAGGGAGGAAGCUGAAGUAGUUGGUAUAUCAAUUAGAAGGAACAUGUUAAAUUGCUCUUGAUUUCCAUCAGGUGCCAACCCAUUAAGAGAAUAUCUGGUGAAUUAAGACUGGAAAAGGUGAGAAAGAGGGAGAGGGGAAAAUCUGGCUGGGGAGGAAGCAGAAGGAAACCAAGCAUAGCCUGCCUCAGCGGUCUCCUUCCCAUCAGCCUUCCAGGCAGUUGGGCAGGCUUGCUCAUGUGCCAGGCUGCUAUUCCUCGUGGGGACACCUGGUAUCCCACCCAGCCGUAGGGUCAUUUCCAGCUAGACUCCUUCCCCUGGCUCAGGGACAUACUGGGCCACGUGCAACACACUGAGACUUUAGUAAGUGCUCUGUGUAGCACUGGUGCAGGUGGGCAAAGCAAUGGCAUGGGAACACCAGUGCACACAUCUGCUUCUGCUAUAGCAGUGAGCUGCUGCUUCCCGUGCCACAUCCCAGUAUGUGGAGAAGACUGUGGAAGGAAAGGGAUUGGUGCAUAGUGAGCAGCCAGGAAAGGCAGGUGUGAGAUACAGCAGGUAGCUUCAGGUGCAGAUACGUUCAUUUCUUCAUUUUUUUUUUUCUUGAUAAUUUGAUAAUAAACAUGCGAGCUGGAUUUGGUAUUGCCACUAGUGCUGGCACAUCCAGCCAAUUUCUGUAUUUUCUAGGAGUGUGCAUGCCAUUACAGCCAAGGAAAUCGUGCUCUCCUGGGACUCGGAUUGAGCAGUGUCUAAUAAAAGGCCUGAUGAAGAGAAACUUCUGCAAGAUUUAUUUUCCCCUGGGAAAUUAACCAUUGUAUACCACAGCACACAUGGCAUAUGGCUGCCUGUCCAUGGGAGCACUGCAUCCAACUUCUGAUUCAGCAAAAUACUGGAAGUGGUGUUGUGAUAAAUAGGGCUUAAACAGAGGUAUAAAGUUUGACAUGGCCUUAACAGGCCAUUUCGGCAUUGAUAAAUGUAAAACACAAAGAUUUAUAUUGUGACUCAGAGCUAGAUUUUUCUCAUACAAGCAAUGGAUUAAAAGUGAUCAGUUACUGAGUCUGAUUGCCAGACUAAUUCAAUUUAUUUUAUGUGUAUAUUAUGCUAUCUCUUCACCUUCUGAAUGUUAUGUGAAAAUAAGAAAAGGUAGGCAUAGAAUAGAAUCACAGAAUGAGUUGGGGACCUUGAAGUCCACCUGGUUCCAACCCCAUUGCUGUGGACAGCGUUGCCUCCCACUUCAUCAUGCUCAGGGUCCCAUCCAGCCUGGCCUUGAACUCAUCCAGGGAUGGAGCAUCCAUAGCUUCUCAGAGCAACCUGUUGCAGUAUCUCACCACUCUUAGAGUAAACAGUUUCUCCCUAACAUCUAACCCAAAUUUCUCCUCUUUCAUUAUAAACCCAUUUCCCCUUGUCCUAUCAUUAUCGGACCAUGUAAAAAAUUGGUCCCACUCCUGAUUAUAAGCUCCCAUCGAGUAAUGAAAGGCUGCAAUGAGGUCUCCCCAAAGCCUUCUCUUCUCCAGUUUGAGUAAGUCCAAUUCCCUCAGCCUGUCUUCACAGGAGAGGUGCUCCAGCUCUCUGAUCAUCUCAGUGGCCCUCCUCUGGACCUGUUCCAACAGCUCCAUGCCUUUCUGUGCGGAGGGCCCCAGGUCUGGAUGCAGUACUGCAGAUGGGACCUCACAAGGGCUGAGCAGAGAGAGACAAUCACCUCUCUCACCCUGCUGGCCACCCCUCUUUUGAUGAAGCCCAGGAUACUGUUGGCUUUCUGGGCUAAAAGCACACAUUGCUGGCACAUUCCCAGCUUUUCAUCACUGGGAACCCAAGGUCCUUCUCCCAAUCUGCAUUCAUAUCUGGGAUUGUCCUGAUCCAAGUGCAGCACCAUGUACUUGGCCUUGUAGUACAUCAUAAAAUAACAUAUAAUCCACAUAGUGCAUAGAGUAUUCUGUCUAUUUUAUUUAUUAUUGCUGUUAUUACUAUAUUCUGCUCUGGCCACUGGAGACAAUAGGCAUAUAUUUUGCAGUGGACAGUUAAGGGUUGUCAAAUAAUUGGAUGGACUUUUUUCAUGUCUAAUCAUUUACAGAUUUGUUUAUACUCUAAUGUUCAAGUGUUCCUGUCCUGAUAUAUCUUGUCUAGGAAAGAAAGCACUCACACCAGCCACCACCACGUAAGUGUAAGUUCUUUUCUCAAGUUAAUGAUAUGUUGUAGCAGAAAUCCUAGAGCAAGAUUUAAACUUCUACUAAACAAGUCCCCUUGGUAGUUUUACAUGAUUUGCAAAAAUCAUUUAAAACUGAACAAAACAAGCCUGAAGUGAUACAUCAUUUUUCUAAAUACUGUUGUUUCUAGAAUGCAGGUGUUCUGUUGGGUGUUGUUCUCAGACACCGUGUUUCUUUUGGAGGUUCAGAAACUGAUGUGCAAAUACCCAAUCCCCUUUUGUAUUAACCUCACUAAGGUCAGUAAGCAUUUUGCUUUAAACAGCAAUGCUCCAAAAUGGGGGAGUUGAAAGUCUGGUUUGCUUAUCUCUUCUAGAACUUGAGGAUCCCUCUUACCUUGUGAAAAAACAGAAUGUAAAUCCAUCUUAUCAGUAGCUAUUGCACCCUCUGAAGUAGUGUGGUUAGUGUUCAUUUAUAUUCUGUCCCCAUUUUCCACCAAAUUCAAACACAGUCUCCUAAAUUCACAUACUCAUGCUAGUUUCCAGUAUUUGCAAUAAUUUUCUUUUUCUUCUGCACAGAAAACUUUGCAGAGCCACCUCAGUGAAUGUGAGGGACGAAGUGCUGAGGUCCUGCUCCCUGUUGGGUCAGCCAUCACCAACAUCCUCUUUGGUGCCAAACAAAAGGAGGAAUCGCAGGAUGAGAAUUUUGGCAAGAUGGAGAGCAGAUCUCUGGAAGGGUGCAAAUGACACUGCAAGACUAGAAGAUCUGAGCCCUAUGAAGCUGAGCAAGUGUAACCACAAUGCCUCACUGGGGCUGUUUGGCUCUGGCCUAAGAGUUGGAAGAGCUGUAUCUUUGUUUUGAAGAGAAAAAACAAGCUUUGGAAAUGAUGCUUUGUGCCCAUGCAGCAAGCUGUGCUGUGGGCUCCCCGCUCUGCAAAGCACUGCAGCCUCCUUCCCCUGGGCCAGGGCAUGAGGCAGAGAGAAAUGAUGCUGUGCCUACCGCUGUAGUAUCACCAGCUCAGACCUGAAGCUGUCCAUAUACCAUAAGGUACCGUCCCAACAGCAGAAAAUAAGCAGCUUCACUAGGUGUUUUGAAUCACUGCAACACCCAGUUUGCCCCAUAAAAUCAGGACUGCAGAGGUCGAAGUCAAAAUGCUUGUUUGAUGGGCUUAAGGAGACAGAUGAAACAACAAAACCUUUCCCUCUGUCCCCAGAAAACAUUUGGACAUUUGCAUGCAGUGAGAUGUGCAAUAGGCCAGGAAUAAAUUAAGUGCAGAAUCUCUGCUCCUUUAAUGAAAUAAUCUGCUAAACUGAUGUUUGUACGUAAUUCAAAGGAAAUCCUUUUGAAGACAUAUGGUCUUUUCAUUGUGCUCCAUUCUGGCUCAAGUUUCACUGUACUAACAAAAUAGAUAAACUGUUGAUGAACCUGAUUCCUUUGCUUUUUUCAAGGUUCCUCUGAGUAUUUCUAACCUUACAGAUUCAAGCUUGUCCAAGCACAGAGUUUUGUGUCUCGGUUUCUUCCCCUUGACAAAAAUGGAGGACUGAAGCAGAGAUGGGAUUGUGCUGGAUGCACCACUGACAGGGCUGGAGUGCUGAUCAUACCAUAUUGCAGAAAUGCAAGACGUUCUUGGUUAAUCUGGAAAAGACUCACCGAAUCCAAGCAAAACAGCAAAUGAUUCUGCUGAAAGCAAGGGAAGAGUAAGCUAAGUGUGAGCAGCAAGGUCUGGUUUGGCUAAGUCUUUGACACACAACAAAGAUCUGUGCCCACACCUGGUGCCCUAGGCUGACUAAACUGGUGACAACCACUAAUACCUCUAAUCUGGCUUGUCUGCAUGCAAGUCAUGAGAUUCUUUCAGCCACUACGUUGUCAAGCCCAGUUUCUCAUUGAACAAGAGCAUCAAAUCUGAAGAUAAAGUGACAAAAAGACAAGUCAAUCUUCUAAUAAAGUGCUUGGAUGAAUUGCUACUUUAGGCAAGAACUGGUCAGCAUUAGCUUCUUUGGGACUUUGUUUUUGGGAGAAAAGCAAACAGAACAGCCCAACUCCUCCCCAACUCUAAUUUCCUCAUUGAAGAGCAUGAAGUUGGUUCUUAUUUAGCAAAUUAAAUAUAGGACCCAUUUCUUUCAGUAGUGCCUCAUUUAUUUGCCAUGUGCAAGCAUACUGAUAAUAUAUAUGUAGAAACUUUCUGCUCAAUUGCAAGUUACUGUGGAAGCUGAGGGAGGUAAAUACUCAGCCCCUCCAAGACUUCUGUUGUCUAAAAUUAGCAACAGAGAAUAGUAAGGUGUGUAGAGUACUACUUUUCCCUAGAAUUCCUUCUUCUUUUACAUCUUUUGAAUGAUGUGGCUGUAAGGCUAAGAACAUAAUCUAUAGAAAAACUGGAACAUAUAUAUAGGUAGUGAUGCCAACGUGAAAAAGCCACCUUCUUUUCCCUGUACUUGUUGCUGACACUGCUGUUUCUGAAUGGCACACCAGUAGGCAGGACUUUGCACGCCAUGGAUGUAAUGCUGCCUCUGAGACUCUGAAUGGAGCAGAAGUUCCUGAGGAUCAUUCUUCUCAUGCUGUGGACAGCGGGAGAACCAGUAACUGCCUGGAACGUGACUGAUGGAGAACGGAAAGAGUAUAGACCAAAAAAAAAAAAGGAAGGAAGGAAGGAAGAAAAUGCGUUUGUGUGAUGGUUGUGCCGCGAUGUUGCCCAUUUAUCUGUCCUCAUCUGCAUAACUCAACCUCUUCAAGCUAAAAUUUCCCCUCAGUAAUGUGCUAGGAUCAACACAACCAUCCAUGCUAAGAGGAAAGAGUGGUGCUCAUACUUCCUGGAGUUAAUUGGAGAUAAAGGGUGUGUGGAUGCUUUCACGGGGCCAGUGGCAAAAUAGAGACUGGUUUUGUGGUUUCCACAGUUCUAUUUCGAGAAAGAAAUGUCACCUCAAAAACUAAAUCCAACUGAAUACUUUUUUCCCAUCUCCCUUCCGCAGCUUUCCCAAAUAUAUGUGAAGAUGACAGAAGCACCUCCUUUGCAAAGCCUUACACUUUCUGAAACAUGUCUUGUUUUGUUUCUGUAGCCAGCAGGAUGCCUUAGGCCCAGCAACAAAGAGCAGUUACGUGAUCUUACAUAGCAAAGUUAUCCAUUGCCAAGAAUGUGAUUCAAGCACAGUCUGUUGAACUUUGUGUUAUACUGCCAUACUUCAGUGCUUAGGAUCAGAUCUGGAUUAGCUUUUACUAAUGAUUGCAGUUCCCUUUGAUACAAUCUUGCUGCUGAAGAUACAGGGUUUUUAAGCGAUCAUUUCCCUUAUAAAUUAGGGGAAGGACACGACUGAUCAGACUACCUGGAAUACCGCUUUAUUUUCAAAUCCUGAGUUGUUUCUUUCAUCUUCUGAUUCAGUAACUCAUACCUGUUCUUCCUAUUCCAAAUACCUUGUCUGGAAGAAGGUGUUCUGCUCCUUCUCAUUUUUAUUAAUUAACCCCAUGAUAAGUAUGGGGCUUAUAUUUAUGGAUACCAAUGUACAUUUUUUAUGGGUAUGUCUAUAUUCUGCCUUUUCAAAUUGGUUAUGAUACAUAAUAAAUUGGCAGCUAAAUUUAACUGGUUACCAAAGAGUAAAAUUGCUGAUAAUUUGACACCAUCCCAUUUAAUAUUAAAUACAAUAGUUCUUUGCUUUUGUACAGCUAUUGAUUUCUCCUAUUUAAGGUAUACACACAUAUAUUUCAACUGCAGCUCUCUGGCUUUUUACCCUGUGGGGUUUGAUUUUUUUACACCUCAUAGUAUAUUUGAAGCUGCACUUCUUGUAUCUUCAGGACUAUAUACCUCUACACAGUGAAAAUCCCACGUCAUCAACUCAAAUGGAUUGGUGAGCUCUGCAGCUGUAGGGCAGCGCUUCUCAACAGAAAAAUAAAAGGGGGAGAGGAGGGGAAGCAUUUUCAAUUAAUUUUGUCUCCUAACAUUCCAACGAAGGAUCAGUCUGUCUGCAUGUGACAGAUUGAAACAGCCCGAGCAGUGGAAGGAUGGAGCUGGCUUCUUCAUAGAAAUACUCACCGAGGUUCAGCAUCAAGCUGAAAUGCCCUGAGCCUUUCCCGAGCAUACUAAUGUGCCUCUGAUAAUUCUGCGUGCUGUAAGCUCUCUGCAGCCUUGAAAAGAAAGGUAUGGAGAUUAAAAAAGAAGAAGAAGAGAGGAAGAAGAAGAAGCACUCAUGUGUGAGUGACUGCGUCUGAAAAGUCUCCGAUUUAGUGACUUCAAAAAGGACUCUGAAGGACGGUGGAAGCGUGGAAAGUCUCAUGAUGGCAUCUCAAAGUAUCCUUCCUUUGCCCAGCUCUGCACUCCGUGUUUGGUUGAAUCAAUGGGAG